GAUGAACGCUGGCGGCGUGCCUAAUACAUGCAAGUCGAGCGAACGGACGAGAAGCUUGCUUCUCUGAUGUUAGCGGCGGACGGGUGAGUAACACGUGGAUAACCUACCUAUAAGACUGGGAUAACUUCGGGAAACCGGAGCUAAUACCGGAUAAUAUUUUGAACCGCAUGGUUCAAAAGUGAAAGACGGUCCUGCUGUCACUUAUAGAUGGAUCCGCGCUGCAUUAGCUAGUUGGUAAGGUAACGGCUUACCAAGGCAACGAUGCAUAGCCGACCUGAGAGGGUGAUCGGCCACACUGGAACUGAGACACGGUCCAGACUCCUACGGGAGGCAGCAGUAGGGAAUCUUCCGCAAUGGGCGAAAGCCUGACGGAGCAACGCCGCGUGAGUGAUGAAGGUCUUCGGAUCGUAAAACUCUGUUAUUAGGGAAGAACAUAUGUGUAAGUAACUGUGCACAUCUUGACGGUACCUAAUCAGAAGGCCACGGCUAACUACGUG
rnacentral:rRNA from 1 species